GACUGAGGAGCAACAAGCUCUGUACAGCUGGAGUGGAGCGAACACAGAGAAAGUUAUGGGUCGUGAGAUUGGAGAGGGGGAGCCAUGAUGACAGCUGAUUCCUCCCUGAAGUUUGAAGUCCUUGCUAAUGACCUAACUCUAAUUCUCAGACCCAUCAGCAAGGAUCCUACAUGCUUUCUCAGGCCAGCAAGGAUUUUAUUUAUUUGUUCAUGGGAGAUGCAGAGGGAGAAGCAGGCUCCAUCCCUGUACACCAGGAUCACACCCUGAGCUGGAAGGCAGAUGUCUGCCCAACUGCUGAGCCACCCAGGAGUCCCUUAAAAAUGUUUACCCUCAUCACCCCAUAGGUUCUCCCAGAAGUUUUAUAUAUUUACUUUGCAAAUGAAGGUCUAUGAUUUACUUUGACUUUGAACUAAUUCUUGAAAUGUCUUUUUUCAAAAUCAUUUAUUGACAAUCCAUACUUUUCCCCUUGAGUUACCUUGGAACUUUUGUUGUAUGAAUAUAUCUCUGGACUCUGUUUUAUUGCAGUAACCAAUAUAAAAAUCCAUAUGGCAAUAGACAGUUUAUUGAUAAGUCUUGAAAACAGGUGGUAUAAAUCUUCCAACUUUGUUAUUUUUUAAAGUAUUUUGAUUAUUCUCAGUCCCUUUAAUUUUGAUGUAAAUUAUGUAGUCAGCUUGUUCAUUCUUAUAAAACUAUUGGUAUUUUAUUUGGAAAAACUGAUAUCCUAACACUAUUGAGUUUUAACAAUACUGAUCCAUUAAAAUGGUAUGUCUUUCCAUUUGUUUAGAUCUUUUAAAAUAUCUCUCAGCAAUGUGUAUAGCUUUUAGUGUAUAGGCUGUGGGCAUUUAAAAAAUGAUCUGUAAGUAUUUCUUGGGUUUGGAUGGUUGGUAUUGGAAAUUCUCUCUUUAAAAAAUUGUAUUUUCUGUUGCAUUGAUUCUUGCAUUUUAACCAUAUAUCCUGAGACCUCAACAAAUUCACUUAGUUCAGGUACUUGUUUUGAAAUACGUGUAGUUUUCUUUCUGUACACACAAUCCUGUUUCCCAAGAACAGUGACAUGUAACUUCUUUCAGUUCCAUAUGCUUUAAUUUUUUUUCUCUUCUUGCAUAAUUCUAUUUGCUAGAAACUCCAGUGGAAUAUUUAUUAGAAGUUUUAAAAGCAGACUUACUUUUUUUUCUCCCAGAUUAUUCCUACCAGUAUAUCAUUUACAUAUAUAAUUUACCUAUAACAUUAUGUAAUUUUAAGGUAUACAACCUGUUAAUUUGAUAUAUAUUGCAAAAUGAUUACCACUCUAGUGUUUGCUCCAUUAUGUCACUAAUUAUCAUUUCUUUUUGUGAUGAGAGCAUUUAAGGUCUACUCUUGGCAACUUUCAAGUAAAUAAUAUUGUUAACGAAUCAUCUUAUAACUGGAAGUUUAUAUUCUUUGGCCAGGCUUUCCUAUUUCUUAUUCUCAAAGUUAAUAGAGGAAGACUGAAUGUCCCUCUUUAAGUAUGACAUUAACUGAGGUUUUUCACAGAUUCUCACUAUUAGAUUGAGUUUCCUUUUAUUCUUGCUUUGCUAAGAAAUUUAUUUAAAAGGUGUUCAGUCUGGGGAUCCCUGGGUGGCGCAGUGGUUUGGCGCCUGCCUUUGGCCCAGGGC